rnacentral:rRNA from 1 species
GUGUCAGCAGCCGCGGUAAUACGGAGGGGGCUAGCGUUGUUCGGAAUUACUGGGCGUAAAGCGUACGUAGGCGGAUGCGCAAGUUGGGGGUGAAAUCCCGGGGCUUAACCUUGGAAUUGCCUCCAAAACUGGUCGGCUUGAGUGUGGAAGAGGGUUGUGGAAUUCCCAGUGUAGAGGUGAAAUUCGUAGAUAUUGGGAAGAACACCAGUGGCGAAGGCGACAACCUGGUCCAUUACUGACGCUGAGGCGCGACAGCGUGGGGAGCAAACAGGAUUAGAUACCCUGGUAGUCCACGCUGUAAACGAUGAGUGCUAGACGUCGGCGGUUUAACUGUCGGUGUCGCAGCUAACGCAUUAAGCACUCCGCCUGGGGAGUACGGUCGCAAGAUUAAA